rnacentral:lncRNA from 1 species
GCCUUCUUUUCCGAUCCCUUCCACUGAAAUUUUAUUCUGGGUUACUCCCUUUUCCGCUCCUUCGGCGAAUGCGAGUGCUUUUCUUGCGAGUCUUCGAUGCUUUCGGAGAUAGGCGUCGUGCGGCGAGGACUAAGGAGUAGGAGAAGAAGGUGUCGUGUUGCUAGGGUUUUGAGAACUCAGAAGGAAAAUAAAAGAUUAAAAAGGGGGCUUGCGUGUUGGAGCGAGGAGGAAAUGACAGGAGGGAGGGGAAGGGACGGCUGUCAGGUGGUGGGGAGGGAAAAAAAGUGAAAAAAUUUGGGGGUAG